UUGGUGCCUUCGGGAACUCUGAGACAGGUGCUGCAUGGCUGUCGUCAGCUCGUGUUGUGAAAUGUUGGGUUAAGUCCCGCAACGAGCGCAACCCUUAUCCUUUGUUGCCAGCGGUCCGGCCGGGAACUCAAAGGAGACUGCCAGUGAUAAACUGGAGGAAGGUGGGGAUGACGUCAAGUCAUCAUGGCCCUUACGAGUAGGGCUACACACGUGCUACAAUGGCGCAUACAAA
rnacentral:rRNA from 1 species